GACGAACGCUGGCGGCGUGCCUAAUACAUGCAAGUAGAACGCUGAAGAGAGGAGCUUGCUCUUCUUGGAUGAGUUGCGAACGGGUGAGUAACGCGUAGGUAACCUGCCUUGUAGCGGGGGAUAACUAUUGGAAACGAUAGCUAAUACCGCAUAACAAUGGAUGACACAUGUCAUUUAUUUGAAAGGGGCAAUUGCUCCACUACAAGAUGGACCUGCGUUGUAUUAGCUAGUAGGUGAGGUAACGGCUCACCUAGGCGACGAUACAUAGCCGACCUGAGAGGGUGAUCGGCCACACUGGGACUGAGACACGGCCCAGACUCCUACGGGAGGCAGCAGUAGGGAAUCUUCGGCAAUGGGGGCAACCCUGACCGAGCAACGCCGCGUGAGUGAAGAAGGUUUUCGGAUCGUAAAGCUCUGUUGUAAGUCAAGAACGAGUGUGAGAGUGGAAAGUUCACACUGUGACGGUAGCUUACCAGAAAGGGACGGCUAACUACGUGCCAGCAGCCGCGGUAAUACGUAGGUCCCGA
rnacentral:rRNA from 1 species